rnacentral:rRNA from 1 species
CACCGCCCGUCACAUCACGAAAAGCCAGUUGUACUAGAAGCCGGCAAUUCAACCCGCAAGGGAGAUAGCCGUCCAAGGUAUGACUGGGUGAUUGGGGUG